GUGAUUCUAAUUUAGUUCUCUGGAGGAAAUAGCUGCUCUCCUUUGUCGUAUUAAUUCAGAAACUAAUUUAAAUUUCUGUAAGCAGGAUCAUCUGAAAAUGGUUUGGAAGUGUGCUGUUUUCCAUGACUGCUAACUGACAACUGUAUUAAUUUCACAGAAUUCAAUUCUGGGCAACACAAGUAACUUGCUGCUGCAGAGCCCUGCUCAACUCCCAUUGCCGCAGCAGCAGCUGAUGAAAAUGGAGAACAUCCAGGCCAAUAGUAAACCAGGUUUGCUGGGAGAGCCUCCAACAAUGCUGCUGCAGACCGUGCUGGGAAUAGGGGUGAUGCCAUCAGUGAGCUCAGGCAUGGGAACCCGUGGAGAAGCUCUCAAGUGUAAAUGACCUUUUAUUUCAUACCAAGUCAGUACAAAUGCUCAGCUUGAAGUGAAGCACCUUCCUUUCUCCCACACUGCCAAAAGCAAACUAUGUUUGAACUUUGUUACUUGACAGGAAGGUAGGCAUAGAGCCCCACAAUAAUGCAAGUCAUCUAGCUAUAGAAUUACACAGGUUAACAGAGUAUAUUGCUAUAUAGCUGUCUUCAGCCUGCUGAUCCAGCAGGUUAUGGCCAUUUGAACUUGAAAUGCUUUGCUUUGUUGCCUGGAUUUUCUCAUCUGUUUACUGAGGGAAGAAAGAGACUCUGUUGCAUUUGUUGAAUAUUUGCAGACGGUUGAAAAUUCUGCUUGUUCAGUUACUACAGGUUUAGCACAGGUGGAAUAUGCUUUUAUUCAAAAUCCUGGGGUUUGUUGUUCCAAAGAAGAUAAACCUGAGUAGCUGAAGGAGCACUGCAGAUAGUUGUUUUGCAUUCAGUUCAUUAAGCAGGGGAGCUUUAAUGUCCAAUCUGUGACAGAUACCAGCUCUGAAUGCCAAUUCCUGCACUAGUGAUGCCCUCAGUUUCUAUGAGGAAAGAUGAGUUGUGAUUAGAACAUUUUUCCUCACUGAGAGCCAUGUACUCUGCAGUUUCACAGGCAGCUUGAAUGAUGGCAGUAGCCAGGAGCAGGGAAAGGCCUUCUUCUUUUGGAAACAGAAAGAAACCCAUUCUGAAUGCCUGGAUUUUAAUUUUGGAGAAUGUGUUCAAGCUGUUCUAUUUGUGAAGGAUUUUACUAAUGCAAGUUGAA
rnacentral:lncRNA from 1 species